UUAUUUAGUCAUCUUAUCGAGUGGGGAAAGCUCACGAGCAGCGUAUUCGUCACUCGACCAAUCACUUUUGAGAAGGUCUGAGACAAGAACCAAUCGCUUUCCUCUCAAGACAUCAUCUGAGCAGAUGAGCAAGAGCUGAACUGUGAAUGUAUUGCGAGUCUUUCUAAAAGUACUACAAUAAAACAAAAAAAAUAAAGAUAGUAAAAAUACAGAUAGAAUAA
rnacentral:RNase_P_RNA from 1 species